UCAAAUUUAUAUUCUUAUAUAUAUAUUUUAAUUAUUUUAUAUUUUUUUACUGAUUUAAUGUUUAAAUAAAAUUACCGAAACCGUAUUGGCACAGCACGAUACGAUACCGAAACCGUAUCGUUCCGGUCUUGGACCGAAACCUUGGCACGGGUCGAAAUUUUAAACCUUGCAUAUACCUAACCGGAGUAUGAUGUUUUGUUAGAGAGUUAAUCAUAUUGAUAAUAUUAGUUUGUCCUUGGCAUCCUUCUGGAGGUGAUAUUAUUCUGAAGAAGAUUAACACAGGUGACCACGGGUUUGAGCAUUACUUGAACUUCAUGAGUAUUUGUUUCAAUUUGCAGUAAGUAUCAUGUAGGGGUUUUGGUGAAAAGGUGGAGAAAUUUUGAGACAAGCUUAAAGACAGUGGUAUCAGAAUCAGUUGUGAUCCUUGUUCCUAACAGUUGCAAGCCAGGACUCACAACUGGUGCUGAUAUUCAAGGGAAGGAAGGGGAGAGGAAGGGGGGAGGAAGAGUAAGAAAAACAAAGGAAGAAGAUGCACAUGCAACUAUGCAAGUCCUGCACUUCUCAUCCACCAUUUGCCUAGGGCUUGUGAUUUCUAAGGAUCUGUUCACUUUAGAGGAAGGGUGUUGUGAUAGGGAAGGUACUGCACUGUCUUCCCUAUCUGCUGUUUUCUUGGAAAGCUGUUGCUGCAAGAAGGGAGACUCAAUUCAUUCCAUGGAAUCAAUUUGUUCCAAAACCCGCCCACCAAAAUCAUACAGGAGUGCUAAAAAGAGUUAAAAUUGGUGCUAAGGGCGUCAACUAACUGCAACAUGAUGGUGGUGGUGGCGGUAUAGUCAACGUCCUCAGAGUGUCUAUUUUUACAGUCUUCUUUGAUGAUUGAUUUUUAUUACUUGAAAGAAUUGUUGUACCAUUUGAAAUCUUUUUCCUUCUUGCAGUUUUUUUUUUCUCUUCUAUUUUGGAGUUUCCAUGAAAAUCUAAUGUGUUUUUAUUGUCUGCAGUCUUUUGUGUUCGUGUUUAUUCCACGUGAUUGUACUCAAGAUUAAUCUCAUUGUAUUUGCAUGUAUUUUUGAGUUUAGCAGUCUAUAUUUAACUGUGUCUAUUUGUUAAAUACUUAAAUUGGAUAGCCGGGGCUCUUCUUUCUCUAGAAAAUUGCAAAAUUAGCCUCCUUAACAGUUCCCUUCAUCUACACAUCUGUCAACAACUCUAGUGGUAUGUUCUAAUUCACUGUGUGAUGAUGGAAGAUGGACAAAUGAGAGGGUGCAUGAAAUGUGGGUAGGAUAGAGUCUUGUCUUGUUCUUUGUCUAUCAAAUUUU